GCUGCGUAAGCACCCUUCCAUUAUCCAUAUAAAUCAUAUUAUAAUAUUUCUCUAUAUAACACAAAUAUAGAGAAAUUUCUUAUAUCACAUGUAGCAAAAACAAAUUUCUUAUAGUUAAACGGUCUUCAACUUCUGUCGAUAGUUGCAAAUAGCCUAGUGUUAUUACAUAAGUUGAUAUCUUGAACAUCCAUGGUUCGACCUAGUUAUAAAUUCUAUAUAGAAUGGUCCAAAGUGAGACCCUCCCAA